AUUGAACGCUGGCGGCAGGCCUAACACAUGCAAGUCGAACGAGUGGCGGACGUGUGUGUAGUGUCUGGGACACUGCCUGAUGGAGGGGGAUAACUUCUGGAAACGGUAGCUAAUAGCGCAUAACCUCGGAUGUGCCCAGAUGUGAUUAGCUAGUAGGUGGGGGAAAGGCUCACCUAGGCGACGAUCCCUCGCUGGUCUGAGAGGAUGACCAGCCACAAUGGAACUGAGACACGGUCCAGACGCCUACGGGAGGCAGCAGUGGGGAAUAUUGCACAAUGGGCGCAAGCCUGAUGCAGCCAUGCCGCGUGUAUGAAGAAGGCCUUCGGGUUGUAAAGUACUUUCAGCGGGGAGGCGUUACCCGCAGAAGAAGCACCGGCUAACUCCGUGCCAGCAGCCGCGGUAAUAC
rnacentral:rRNA from 1 species